UGAUUUUUAGGACAUAUGAAACAUCUUUACUAGUUGAGGAGUCCAUUAGUGAUGAGCUGCCAUAUAGUGAAUACUUUGAAUAUUUUGCUCCAGACUUCACACUUCACCCAGAUGUCAGCACAAGGAUAGAAAACCAAAAUUCUAGACAAUAUUUGGAGCAGAUUCGUCAAACAGUGUUUGAGAGCCUGAAGAUGUUAAAUCACGCUCCAAGUGUUCAGAUCCACGACGUUCCCUCUGAUUUGCUGAGCUACGAGCGACCAGACGAGGCCGAUCCUGAUGAGCGAGGAUCAGAAGACAAUUUCUCUAGGUGACUGUAACACUAGUGUUUACAAAUUUGGGCUCUAUAAGA